rnacentral:rRNA from 1 species
UACGUAGGGUGCGAGCGUUGUCCGGAAUUAUUGGGCGUAAAGAGCUCGUAGGCGGUUUGUCGCGUCGACUGUGAAAACUGGGGGCUUAACUCUCAGCUUGCAGUUGAUACGGGCAGACUUGAGUUCGGUAGGGGAGACUGGAAUUCCUGGUGUAGCGGUGAAAUGCGCAGAUAUCAGGAGGAACACCGGUGGCGAAGGCGGGUCUCUGGGCCGAUACUGACGCUGAGGAGCGAAAGCCAGGGGAGCAAACGGG